GUCUGUCUCAAAAAAAAAAAAAAAAAUCUGUGGUUCAGCUCCUGUCUGCAAAAUGGGUAUAAGAAGAGCAUUUAUCUCAAAAGCUCCCAUGAAGCUUAAAUAGAUAUAAUAAAUAUAAAACACAAAGCACCAUGCUUGGCACACAGGAAGUCUUCAAAACAUGAUAGCUAUUUUGAUUAUGAUUAAAUGUCACUCUUCAGUUUGAAACCUUUAGUGGCUGCUGACUGCCUGUAGAAUAAGUCAAUUUUCUAACAAGCAUGUUACGUAUUGUAGCAUAAGAAGUACCAGUCUCAACUUAAGGCAAAUAAUGUGCUCGAAUCCUAGCUCUCCUCAUGAGCUCCGUGAGCCUAGAAAUCACUUAACUUCCCUGAGCCUCAGUUUUCACAGCCACCAAAUGAGAUGACACCACUUUGGGGGAGUUAAAAGCUGCGCUGAGUUAAAUAGUGUACCCCUAAAAUCUACAUGGAACCUUUGACUGUGACUUUUUUUGGAAACAGGGUCUCUGAAUAUGUAAUUAGUUAAGGUAAGGUCAUUCUGGAUUAGGGUGGGCCCUGAAUCUAGGACAACGGGUGUCCUUAAGAGAAGACAGGGACAGAGACACAGGGAGAAUGCCAUGUCAGGAUGGAGGCACAGACUGAGGUGAUCCAGCUGCAGAGCAAGGAAAACCAAGGGCUGCUGGCAACCACCAGAAGCUGGAGAGGCAAGGGAGGGGUCUCCCCUAGAGCCUCGAAAGGGAGCAUGGCACUGCCACAAUGUCCUUUCAGACUUCUCGUCUCCAGAUCUCUAAGAGAAUCCAUUUCUGUUGUUGUAAAUCACCCAGUUUGUAGGAAUUUGUUACAGCAGCCACAGGAAACUAAUACAAUAGUUACUCCAUGUUACACACAAGGAAACAGAGGUUAAGAAGUGUGUGGCCCAAGGUUACACAGUGAAGCUGGCAGGAAUUCAAACCCAUCUGGUUUUAUUCCAUGCUAACAACCACACUGCUGUCAUACCCAUUCCUGCAUGGAAUUAAGACAAGGUAUCGCUUCUGAAUUUUCUAGUGGAAAAAAAAAAAAAAA